rnacentral:lncRNA from 1 species
ACAAGAGUAAGUUGAGACUGGAAGAAAAAGCACUUCCAACAGUCCCUACCGCAGUGUGGAAGCUGGGAAGUCCAUGCGUGGCGUUCGUCCGGAGCCGCUUUUCUAGGAGUGGGAGGGCAAUAGGCGGGGCACGGGCGUGUCGGGGGGCGUUCCGCAGGUGCGACCAGGUAAAUCUUGGUCUCUUCAGAUUGACAUCACCUGGCGCAUGCCUAGUCGGUCUGCACCUUCCCGGGUCGCCGGCUGCAUUUUCGCCCGCGCGGGAAAAGUUGGGGGGGGUGAUGAAGAACCCGGAAGUGCACCAUCUUGCCUCCGUUCAUCCAAACAGAAAAUGGGUAAAAGUGAAGAAGUCUUUAAGAAGUCUUGGAAAGCAAUCAUCAUCUCUCUGUUGAGUCUGCUCGGAUGUCUCACAAUGUGAUAAAAAGUGAUAUAAUUUCUGGAUACUCCUGAUAGCUACCUGCAUAGGCAGUGAUCUCCAGGGCAAGGGUCAGGAGGAAUGGAGAGGUA